rnacentral:lncRNA from 1 species
UGAUUCUCUACUACAGGUACUGAUGCUUUGAUAUCCAUUUGAAUUAUAGUAUUAUGAGAUGAUUGUCCAAUAUCCAACUCUCCAUGUCGACUCCAGAUAGUGUAACCCAAAGGAAAUUGUUUGGAGGAGAUUUUCGUAGACAUCAUCUCUAGAAAGCCACUUCUCGAAAGAACAUUUUGGACAAUGACAUAUUAUCAUGUCUCCACCGUUAUUUUUUUAGAAAGCAAAGUCAAGAAAGCGUUUCAAACCGAUCAUAUACUCAUCGGAAAG